CCUACGGGUGGCAGCAGUGAGGAAUAUUGGUCAAUGGACGCAAGUCUGAACCAGCCAAGUAGCGUGCAGGAUGACGGCCCUCCGGGUUGUAAACUGCUUUUAGGUGGGAAUAAAAGGGGGCGCGUGAGCCCCGUAUUGUAGGUACCAUCAGAAAAAGGACCGGCGACUUCCGUGCGAGCAGCCGCGGGAAUACGGAAGGUCCGGGCGUUAUCCGGAUUUAUUGGGUUGAAAGGGAGCGUAGGCCGGCUUUUAAGUCAGCUGUGAAAGUCCGCGGCGCAACCGUGGAAUUGCAGUUGAAACUGGCGGCCUUGCGUGCACACAGGGAUGCCGGCAUUCAUGGUGUAGCGGU
rnacentral:rRNA from 1 species